rnacentral:pre_miRNA from 1 species
AAAGUACUCCCUCCAUCCGGAAAAACUUGUCCCUCAAAUGAAUGUAUGUAGCAUCAAGUUAGUGGUAGAUACAUCCAUUUGAGGAACAAGCUUGGGACAAGUUUUCUCGGACGGAGGGAGUAUUAU